GUGCUCAAAAGGAAAUGCAUAUGAAUUCUUUUUUGUUGGCCAGGAUGGAAAAAUUCUUUGGAACCCAUGGUUAGAAUAAGUUAGUUAGGCCUAGUGGUGUACCAGCCAGAAGUAGAGGAUGACAAAGAAAAUCAAUUAUGAAUAAUAUUCCAUGGAUAUGAUUCAUGUAUGAUGUAGUAGCCUACAGAAGAAAGAGAUGGACUAAUCUAAGAAAUAUAUUAAUUUUUUCAGU